GACGAACCGUGCGAACGUUGUUCGGAAUCACUGGGCUUAAAGGGCGCGUAGGCGGGCCAGCAAGUCAGGGGUGAAAUCCCACGGCUCAACCGUGGAAGAGCCUUUGAUACUGCGGGCCUCGAGGGAGGUAGGGGCGUGCGGAACUUCCGGUGGAGCGGUGAAAUGCGUAGAUAUCGGAAGGAACAUCGGUGGCGAAGGCGGCGCGCUGGACCUCUUCUGACGCUGAGGCGCGAAAGCCAGGGGAGCAAACGGG
rnacentral:rRNA from 1 species